rnacentral:rRNA from 1 species
AGUGAACGCUGGCGGUAGGCCUAACACAUGCAGGUCGAACGGCAGCACAGUAAGAGCUUGCUCUUACGGGUGGCGAGUGGCGGACGGGUGAGGAAUACAUCGGAAUCUACUUUUUCGUGGGGGAUAACGUAGGGAAACUUACGCUAAUACCGCAUACGACCUACGGGUGAAAGCAGGGGAUCUUCGGACCUUGCGCGAUUGAAUGAGCCGAUGUCGGAUUAGCUAGUUGGCGGGGUAAAGGCCCACCAAGGCGACGAUCCGUAGCUGGUCUGAGAGGAUGAUCAGCCACACUGGAACUGAGACACGGUCCAGACUCCUACGGGAGGCAACAGUGGGGAAUAUUGGACAAUGGGCGCAAGCCUGAUCCAGCCAUACCGCGUGGGUGAAGAAGGCCUUCGGGUUGUAAAGCCCUUUUGUUGGGAAAGAAAAGCAGCAGGUUAAUACCCCGCUGUUCUGACGGUACCCAAAGAAUAAGCACCGGCUAACUUCGUG